UGAAAUGUUUGAAUGACAUGUGGCGUGUUAUUAAAAACGAAACGUACAAUUUUCCGAUUUGCCAAUAUUUUUGUUUCCAGGGAAAUUCGGGCCAUCACCAAGGAAAUUGAAAUAUAAACACGACAUAAAGGCAUAAUAUUACCUUAGUGCAAACGUUUCUAGUGCUCAAAUCAAAGAAAAUAUUACCACAGCGAUAUAUAAACAUCCAUACAAUGUCAAUGGAAGGUCUGGUGAAGGGCGGCGUGAUCGUUGCGGCGGUGGUUGCGGCAGCGGUUGCUGUCGCAGUGGAAUGGUGGCAAUACCGCAACGUGCCGCAACAGUAUAACACACACGGACAACGUCUCAGGAGAUAGAUCGGCAUCUCCGUAGAGUUAAAUGAAAUGCACGAAGCUUUAAAAACAGCAAUAAUGUAGUAAAUAAUAAAAUAUGACAAUUAUUAAUAGAUAAAAAUGUAUUAAAUUAAUAUUAUUUUAAGAAAACAUGGUGCUUCUUUAACAAUAUGACCACUAGAAUGUAUUUUUAUUUGCAUAAAUAUUUAAAUUACGUUACGGAAGUACUUAGUACGUAAUUAUUGUAAAUAAAAAUGUAUUGAAAUAUCUU